rnacentral:rRNA from 1 species
AUGCACGCUGGCGGCGUGCCUAAUCCCUGCCAGUCGCGCGAACAGACGAGGAGCUUGCUCCUCUGACGUUAGCGGCGGACGGGUGAGUAACACGUGGAUAACCUACCUAUAAGACUGGGAUAACUUCGGGAAACCGGAGCUAAUACCGGAUAAUAUAUUGAACCGCAUGGUUCAAUAGUGAAAGACGGUUUUGCUGUCACUUAUAGAUGGAUCCGCGCCGCAUUAGCUAGUUGGUAAGGUAACGGCUUACCAAGGCAACGAUGCGUAGCCGACCUGAGAGGGUGAUCGGCCACACUGGAACUGAGACACGGUCCAGACUCCUACGGGAGGCAGCAGUAGGGAAUCUUCCGCAAUGGGCGAAAGCUUGACGGAGCAACGCCGCGUGAGUGAUGAAGGUCUUCGGAUCGUAAAACUCUGUUAUUAGGGAAGAACAAAUGUGUAAGUAACUAUGCACGUCUUGACGGUACCUAAUCAGAAAGCCACGGCUAACUACGUG